UUCUUGAUUUUGCUUUUCAAAGAAUGGACU
rnacentral:piRNA from 1 species